rnacentral:rRNA from 1 species
AUUGAACGCUGGCGGCAUGCCUUACACAUGCAAGUCGAACGGCAGCACGGGAGCGAUCCUGGUGGCGAGUGGCGAACGGGUGAGUAAUACAUCGGAACGUGCCCGAUCGUGGGGGAUAACGUAGCGAAAGCUACGCUAAUACCGCAUACGAUCUACGGAUGAAAGCAGGGGACCGCAAGGCCUUGCGCGGACGGAGCGGCCGAUGGCAGAUUAGGUAGUUGGUGGGGUAAAGGCUUACCAAGCCUACGAUCUGUAGCUGGUCUGAGAGGACGACCAGCCACACUGGGACUGAGACACGGCCCAGACUCCUACGGGAGGCAGCAGUGGGGAAUUUUGGACAAUGGGCGAAAGCCUGAUCCAGCCAUGCCGCGUGCAGGAUGAAGGCCUUCGGGUUGUAAACUGCUUUUGUACGGAACGAAAAGGUUCUCUCUAAUACAGGGGGCUCAUGACGGUACCGUAAGAAUAAGCACCGGCUAACUACGUGCCAGCAGCCGCGGUAACAC